rnacentral:rRNA from 1 species
CUCCUCAAUGUUCUGGGCGACACGCGCACUACAAUGUCAGUGAGAACAAGACUUCCGAAUCUUUUUCGGACCCACUUGAUUCAAUAGAGGGGGGAAACACCGGAAUCACAUCGACCCACUUGGGACCGAGGAUUGCAAUUAUUGGUCGCGCAACGAGGAAUGCCUCGUAGGCGCAGCUCAUCAAACUGUGCCGAUUACGUCCCUGCCAUUUGUACACACCGCCCGUCGUUGUUUCCGAUGUCGGUGCAAUACAGGUGAUCGGAGAGGGGGUGAUUUCACUUUCUCGAAGUUCACCGAUAUUUCUUCAAUAGAGGAAGCAAAAGUCGUAACA